CGGCUCUUCCCGGCCUGAUAGGUUCGGCGGUCGAAAAGCUACAAUGUGGAUGCGGCCUGCACCCGCUGCGCCUGGAGUGUGAAGUUCAUUAGUAUUCCCGGUGCCCAGCACAGAAUGGGCGUAAUCCAGCAUUUACUCCUGGGCGAGGUCGAUGUCUGCCCACGAGAAGGGCGUCCCGCCGAAGACUAGCUGCCCGGAAGCCCCUCGUCGCUGUCCCAUCCUGUGGCACUGGACCGGCGUGAGGGCGGCUGCUUCUCCGGCUGCCUGGCGGCCUGCGCUGUGGGCGAUGAACGCCGGGUCCGCAGUGGGCUGAGCCCUCGGUGUCCUCAGCGCCCGGCUGGUAGAAGAGGGCACUUUUCUGCGGACGCUCUCGCUUCCUUGUUCAAAUCACUGACCUCGACUCGGAGCCUCCAUCUGUCUCUGUGUAGUCGGGGCAGAACCAGCAGUGCCUCCUUCGAAAGGCUCUGUGAGAAGACAUGUCAUGAGCAGUCUUGACCCACAUAGUGAAGACAAAGCUUCAAGCAAACAGCCUUAUGAAUGAGCCAUGUCAGAAGUAGAUCUUCCAGCUCCUUCGGGGAUCUACAUUCCUGACUGCAAACUUGACUGUAACCUCAUGAGGGACCCUAAGCUAAAGCCAAAACCUCGCAGUUUGUGACUUCAGCGCCUUUCCUAUCCUGUAUAUUCUGAGAUUUUUCUUCAGGGAUGCAACUUGGGUCAUUGCCUGGAUUUCUUCUCUUCUGGCCAUCCAUCCUACCAGCUCUCCCAGGCCUUCAAAAGGAGAUCAGUUGCAGGUGGAAGGACAAAACUGGUUGAAGCAAAAGUCCAACUUCAGCAUCUGGUAUACAGAUUUAGCUGCAUUAGUGCAAUUUUUAAAAAACCAAAUGUACAACCUAUAUCCCAAGACUUAUUAUGGAAUCCUUAAUUUAUCAACUUAGCUUUUGAUGGAUUUUUUUUCUUCUGUUGAAAUGUAUAAUACCUUCUCAUAGUUAAGCUGAAGAAUCUUUUCCAUUCAACUUCCUCCCUCUGGGAUGUAAUAAAGAGACAACUUUUGGCCCAACAGCAUAUUAGAGACAAAUUUUCUGUGAUAGAAAAAUAUUUUUUAUUACAUGUAAUGUUUCUCAAAGGAGGUAGGUCAAAACAUAGAUAUCAAUCCUCUGUAACCAUCUACUGAUACCAUAUUUGGCUGGAGGAUAUUAAAAUGUAGUAUGUUACUCUUGAAAGGUUGAGUAUUUUGUUAUGGCUGUUUUAAUUUCCAUAACAGCCAUGUGGAAAUUAGAAUAAAGAAGAAUUAUAAUUAUUUACCAUCUCUGCAUGCUCAAUUUCCCUUCAAAAGUGUUAAAGGGCUGAGCAGAGAGAAGCAGCAAUGUAGUAUAGGUCAAAGCAUGUCUCAUUUGUGGGGGUAUUGGAAAACUGGGACAUUUUGUCUAAAUUUGCCACUUCCUAGUGAGACUCUUUGGUCAGCCUUACUUUUCUAAGGUGUAAAAUGGGGACAAUAACAUUCUCAAGGAUGGUUGUGAGAAAUAAAUGAUAUAACAUGUGUAAAAUUCUUGGUCCUAGAAGGAAUUCAAUACCUGAUUAUUGAUGUUAUUCUUCAACAUGAUUAUAAGAGGCUUAAUAUCUUUUAUACUAUUUGAUUAUAUAUCUAA